rnacentral:rRNA from 1 species
UCCGGUGACCAUGGCGGAGGGGAAACACCCGUUCCCAUUCCGAAUACGGCAGUUAAGCCCUCCAGCGCCGAUGGUACUGCCCCCACGACGGGGCGGGAGAGUAGGACGUUGCCGGGG